UACAAGUUGAGACAGGUCGGUGCAUGGUUGUCGUCAGCUCGUGUCGUGAGAUGUUGGGUUAAGUCCCGCAACGAGCGCAACCCUUGUGUUUAGUUGCAAACAGGUCAAGCUGUGCACUCUAGACAGACUGCCGUGGACAACACGGAGGAAGGUGGGGAUGACGUCAAAUCAUCAUGCCCCUUAUGAUCUGGGCUACACACGUGCUACAAUGGCCGGUACAACGGGCAGCGAAGGAGCGAUCCGGAGCGAAUCCUAAAAAGCCGGUCCCAGUUCGGAUUGCAGGCUGAAACUCGCCUACAUGAAGUUGGAGUUGCUAGUAAUCGCGAAUCAGAAUGUCGCGGUGAAUGCGUUCCCGGGUCUU
rnacentral:rRNA from 1 species